AUUGUGUAAUACUUUUUUAUUUGUCUGUUGCACAAUCUAUUUGCUGAUACUUGUUUCUUUCCCUCCCUCCCUCUCCCCUAGGCUAUCAAACAAAGCUGCCCAACCUUACACUCAUCCAUCAACCUCGAGUUAUUAAGAGAAUAACUGCAGAACAUUUACAAGUGGAUGGGAUGGAGUCCUGGCUGCUUUUCAAGAACACGGAGUCAGUGCUUUGCAAAAACUUUGCAAGAUGGCAAAUUUUCUCAUGCUGCCUGUUCCUUGCUCUGCUGGGACCUGCUGGAAGGAAUGGCUUCUUCAGUGUAGGGUUUUCCCCAUCUUCCCCUUCCCUAUAAGGUCCAGAGACAUUAUAAUCACAUCCCACAUGGGCCAAAUCAUGCCGAUGAGCCAAGAGGUGUGGAGAAGUCUAAUCUGGGCCACACAACUCUCACUUGUGUAUCUAGGCCACCCAGCCCUUUGUUAUUUCAGGUAAUGAGUUCCAGAUAAAUCUCGAAGCCAUUAAGAAGACAGUAUCAGUUGCUGCUGUGUUGUUUUCUCUGCUACCAGAAUUCCUAGGAGCAUUGAUUUCCAAGCUGAUAUGAGUGGGUUUGGUUUUUUUUCUUCAUUGUCUCACAGACUAGAGCAGUGACUUUCCAGGCCAAACCAGGAAUAGUUGCAAGAAUUUUCUACAGAGGGACCAUUCGCAUAAAAUAAAUGCAUUGGGCAUCUGUAAGAAACA
rnacentral:lncRNA from 1 species